CUCUUCCCUCUCCCUUUUCUAAGGUUCUCACACACGGCUGCCAGGUUCCUCACCUGAAGGAGAACCCUGAUCACCUCCUGGGGAUGGGCUCUUCUCGAGCAUGGCUUCCAAGUACCCAGAUUCACAGAGGCUUCCUCCUUGAAGAGUCUACAACAGACCUGAUACCAUAAUUGGGCACACAUCCUUCUGAAAUUCCUUCUAGAAAAUGAUUUAAUCUACUAAGAAAGCCCACAUUUGAAUUCAUUCAUUCCAAAAAGAGUCUCCAUCCACUUCCUAGGUUUUGAGCUCUUUUUAUGAGUCCAUGGAAGCUGCCGUGGUUUUCUCUGAGUCCAUGGCCAUAUUUUCCCUCUGGGUUCUUGUUUCUUUUAAGUCUUAUACCUCUAUUAGUAUUAAAGAUCAUCAGCUGUG